AAGAACAGCGAAAUAGUAUGGGCUAGUUUAGUGGCAUUAUCUAGCUAGCUAGCUACCUAGCUACUCCACGAACGAACCCAUGAGAAAAGAGGCAGCAACGCAAGCUACUCACCCGUAUGGGUCUCCGUAUGGAUCUCCGUGGCACUCCUGUCCUAAUUGGCACGCUAACAAUCUGCAAUCUUGGUAUAAUACUCUCCAGGACACCUUGUUGUUUAACAGAGGUGGAUAGCUAACAACUACGAACUAUCUAGCUAGCUAGUUGUCCGAUGCUGGGGCUGCUGGAUUCUGCUCUUUACUUGAAGUGCUUGUCUCAGCGAACGUCAAUGUCGCCGAAUUAGAUGUGGCUUCCUCUAGCCUUUCCACUCUCUUUUCGAGGACCCCCCAAAAACAAUCGACGAAAGAAGUAAACAACUCCAAGCAUCAUCCUAUUCGCCGAAAGGUACUCCCUAGUGUUAGCUACAUCAACUCAAACACGGACCUAUUUCCACACACGAGUUGAUACCGUUGAUUGGGGCGGGCUAAAGUGUAGAGAUACACGUCGCUUUAUCCGUUAUGGCACUGUACAACCUAACUGCACUGUGUGGCAGUUUUCAGUUGCGCACCAGUGACAAAUAAGGCUGCUCGCCAGAAACCCAAGUGCUGUAGCUAUAAGCUACUCUGUUGCACUGGCUGUGAAAAGUGUACCAAUUCUCAGCAGACCCGGGCUCCAAAGCAGUAAAUUGACCCUUCCCUUCUGCAGAUCUGAAAUGAGACCGGGUGUUCGGUGAAAUCGGCAGCAUCCUCUUCACAUUCCUCAUCAGCAUCUUCUGGUACCAGACAACAUCUGGUUGGCCUGGGCUGUGAGUGGGCUGUGUGUGAUGCUAGCCAUGUUCCUGGGAGCUCCUACCUAUCUCAUGAACGUAGAUGGUCAUAUGGCUAACUAUAUGCAAGACUGAGGCUGCCCUCCAGACUUCAUCCAGUGGCCCAAGGAGAACUGCCCGACCAUUAACUGUGUCUUCAGGUGCUGCUGGUUCAGAGGAGGGUGGUGGUGCCAGCGCUGAGUGCAGCAGGGGCGCCAGUGGAGCAGCCUCCCUGGAAGAAGGUCUCUACCUGGGGAUCGAAAGGAACACAUUGGGCAUCCUGGCUGCCAUGGGGGUGUUCCAGGUGGAAUGGAUCCUUCAGUCCCUACGACUUCCCCUUUUGGACCAAGGUGGAGUUCUUCAUCACACCGUCCCAUAUUACAAUCAGCCCUUAUGUGUAUGGGAUAGGGAGUAACCUGUUUUCUGUGAAACACUUUAAGAAGUAAUGGAAUAAAUAAUUUUUAGGCCUUA